AUACCGGCAAAGUACGAACCAGGCGGCCGCGGAAAAACGCCGGGCGCAAGCGUUAAUCGGAAUUACAGGGCGUAAAGCGUGCGCAGGCGGUUCACUAAGACCGAUGUGAAAUCCCCGGGCUUAACCUGGGAACUGCAUUGAUGACUGGCGCACUAGAGUAUGGCAGAGGGGGGUAGAAUUCCACGUGUAGCAGUGAAAUGCCUAGAGAUGUGGAGGAAUACCGAUGGCGAAGGCAGCCCCCUGGGCCAAUACUGACGCUCAUGCACGAAAGCGUGGGGAGCAAACAGGAUUAGAUACCCUGGUAGUCCACGCCCUAAACGAUGUCAACUAGUUGUCGGGUCUUCAUUGACUUGGUAACGAAGCUAACGCGUGAAGUUGACCGCCUGGGGAGUACGGUCGCAAGAUUAAAACUCAAAGGAAUUGACGGAAACUCCAAAGGUUUAAGGAAUUAUAAAACCGCUCUAUGACCGAU
rnacentral:rRNA from 1 species